UACGUAGGGUCCGAGCGUUGUCCGGAUUUAUUGGGCGUAAAGAGCUCGUAGGCGGUUCCGUAAGUCAGAUGUGAAAACUCAGGGCUCAACCCGGAGACGCCAUCUGAUACUGCGGUGACUGGAGUCUGGUAGGGGAACACGGAAUUCCUGGUGUAGCGGUGAAAUGCGCAGAUAUCAGGAGGAACACCGAUGGCGAAGGCAGUGUUCUGGGCCAGUACUGACGCUGAGGAGCGAAAGCCAGGGGAGCGAACGGG
rnacentral:rRNA from 1 species